AAAUUGAAGAGUUUGAUCAUGGCUCAGAUUGAACGCUGGCGGCAGGCCUAACACAUGCAAGUCGAACGGUAACAGGAAACAGCUUGCUGUUUCGCUGACGAGUGGCGGACGGGUGAGUAAUGUCUGGGAAACUGCCUGAUGGAGGGGGAUAACUACUGGAAACGGUAGCUAAUACCGCAUAACGUCGCAAGACCAAAGAGGGGGACU
rnacentral:rRNA from 1 species